GCGCUACAUGGGCUGUCUACAACGAACAUAACUGUAACUGAGGAGACGGACUACAUGGGCUGUCUACAAUGCACAUAACUGAGGAGAAAGGCUGCAGGGGUCCCUAACCAUUUAUUCCACAGAGAGAAGUAUAAAGGCUUCCAUUGUACACACAGGAGAAAUUAUGCAUUGGUCUAAUAUGCCCUCAUUAGAUGGACGAAUGAGGAGUCUCUGCUGUGUACAAUUUAGGCAGAGUAAACAUAGGUGUCUACUAUGAAAAACAGAAAACACAUGAGUUUCUACUAUGCACAACAAGAAGAAGACAAGACUCCCUACCCUGCAUACCACAGACAGACAAUUCAUAAGUCUACUAUGCACGCCACAGACAAAAUGAAUGGGUCUCCACUAUUCACGCACCACAGACAGCCAAUGCAUAGGUCUCCACUAUUCCCGCACCACAGACAGACAAUGCAUGGGUCUCCACUAUCCACAGACAGACAACACACAUAACUGAGACAGGAUGCAUGGGCUGUCUACAAUGCACAUAACUGAGGAGAGAGGCUGCAUGGGCUGUCUACAACGCACAUAACUGAGGAGAAAGGCUGCAUGGGCUGUCUACAACGCACAUAACUGAGGAGAAAGGCUGCAUGGGCUGUCUACAACGCACAUAACUGAGGAGAAAGGCUGCAUGGGCUGUCUACAACGCAUAUAACUGAGGGGAAAGGCUGCCUUGAUGGUCUACACGUACAUAACUGAGGAGAAAGGCUGCCUUGAUGGUCUGUCUACAACGCACAUAACUGAGGAGAAAGGCUGCAUGGGCUGUCUACAACGCACAUAACUGAGGAGAAAGGCUGCAUGGGCUGAGGAGAAAGGCUGCAUGGGCUGUCUACAACGCACAUAACUGAGGAGAAAGGCUGCCUUGAUGGUCUACAACGUACAUAACUGAGGAGAAAGGCUGCAUGGGGCCGUCUACAACGCUCAUAGCUAAGGAGAGAGGCUGCAUGGACUGUCUACAACGCACAUAACUGAGGAGAAAGGCUGCAGGGGUCUCUAACCAUUUACUCCACUAGACGUGGCCUUAACCCUGCAAAGCAAACAAUGCAGUUUAAAAAACUAAACCAAAUUUAAAAAAAAAAAAUUGCUAUAUUUUUACGUAGCAGGGUUUAAGGACUGAGCUAAAUGUACACAUUUUGACCAAAAUAAAACGUAAACAAAACUUGGAAUUUGACUAUAUGUCUGUUC